rnacentral:rRNA from 1 species
UUGCCAGCAGUUCGGCUGGGCACUCUAAAGGGACUGCCGGUGUUAAACCGGAGGAAGGUGGGGAUGACGUCAAGUCCUCAUGGCCUUUAUGUCCAGGGCUACACACGUACUACAAUGGCCGGUACAAAGGGCGGCGAGUCAGCGAUGACGAGCAAAUCCCGUAAAGCCGGUCUCAGUCCGGAUUGGAGUCUGCAACUCGGCUCCAUGAAGUUGGAAUCGCUAGUAAUCGUGGAUCAGAAUGCCACGGUGAAUACGUUCCCGGGCCUU